rnacentral:rRNA from 1 species
AGGAAGAAUCUGGAGACAGGUGCUGCAUGGCUGUCGUCAGCUCGUGUCGUGAGAUGUGGGUUAAGUCCCGCAACGAGCGCAACCCUUGCCUUUAAUUGCCAGCAUUCAGUUGGGCACUUUAAAGAGACUGCCGGUGUUAAACCGGAGGAAGGUGGGAUGACGUCAAGUCCUCAUGGCCUUUAUGCUUAGGGCUACACACGUGCUACAAUGGGUGGUACAAAGAGAAGCCAACUCGCGAGAGCGCGCCAAUCUCAAAAAGCCAUCCUCAGUUCGGAUUGGAGUCUGCAACUCGACUCCAUGAAGUUGGAAUCGCUAGUAAUCGCGGAUCAGCAUGCCGCGGUCGAAUACGUUCCGGGCCUU